UUGAUGUUGAUGGAGGCGGGGUACCGAGAGGGAGGCAGUUGUGACCGCAGCUGGUUUGGGGGGCUGGCUCUUAAGAUGACCCUUGCUCAGUUGAAAGCAGCCUGGAAGAAUGUAGCCUUCGGAAUCAGAUCUUAGAGUUGGAAUCCCUCUUGGAUUUUGAAAAAUGGAGCUUCCUUUUUCCUGUUCACCCAACCAUGUGUCCAGUGGCUCAAGUUUCAUGGAGUGAGACCACAUAUCCUUUGGAAGGCUGAUCAGCACUGGACCAGAAACCACUGCAUAAAAUCUGUCAGGAACUCCUGAAGCCCAUUCCCCAUUCCAAAGCUAUGGAAGUCCUAGAAUAUGAAUGGAAAUAGCCUCUCAAGGCUGAAUUUAGCCCCAGCUCCCUUGGGCCUACCUUUGAGAGAACCCAUACCAUGGUGCUCUCGAGGGAAGAAGGAGAAAGAAUCCUCUGCUUUGUUUUUCAUUCAG